AAAUGCUAUCAUACCAACACUAAUGCACUAGAUCCCAUCAGAACUCCACAAUUAAGUGUGUUUGAGCGAGAGUAGUACUAUGAUGGGUGAUCUCUUGCAAAGUCCUCGUGUUGCAGCUU
rnacentral:rRNA from 1 species